rnacentral:misc_RNA from 1 species
UCAUCCAGACAAUAAAAACCCACUGAUAAAUAUAGUGAUCUUUCAUCUGGGAUGCUUGGAAAACUUAGUUACAAUCAUGCUAUUUUGUUUUUAAAAAGGAAUCAAUUUUGGGUUUGAAAAAUCGUUCGUCUAUUGAGUUGAAAGACCAUUCAAGGCGAGUCACCAGCUGGUAGUGAGACGAAACUAGCCAAGAUGUCCAUGGC